rnacentral:rRNA from 1 species
AUACGUAGGGGGCGAGCGUUGUCCGGAAUUACUGGGCGUAAAGGGUGCGUAGGUGGCAAUUUAAGUUGGAUGUGAAAUCCCCGGGCUUAACCUGGGUGGUGCAUUCAAAACUGGAUAGCUAGAGUGCAGGAGAGGGAAGCGGAAUUCCUAGUGUAGCGGUGAAAUGCGUAGAUAUUAGGAGGAACACCAGUGGCGAAGGCGGCUUUCUGGACUGUAACUGACACUGAGGCACGAAAGCGUGGGGAGC